GACGAACGCUGGCGGCGUGCUUAACACAUGCAAGUCGAACGGAAAGGCCCUGCUUUUGUGGGGUGCUCGAGUGGCGAACGGGUGAGUAACACGUGAGUAACCUGCCCUUGAGUUUGGGAUAACUUCAGGAAACUGGGGCUAAUACAGGAUAGGAGCUCCUGCUGCAUGGAGGGGGUUGGAAAGUUUCGGCGGUUGGGGAUGGACUCGCGGCUUAUCAGCUUGUUGGUGGGGUAGUGGCUUACCAAGGCUUUGACGGGUAGCCGGCCUGAGAGGGUGACCGGCCACAUUGGGACUGAGAUACGGCCCAGACUCCUACGGGAGGCAGCAGUGGGGAAUAUUGCGCGAUGGGCGGAAGCCUGAUGCAGCAACGCCGCGUGCGGGAUGACGGCCUUCGGGUUGUAAACCGCUUUCGCCUGUGACGAAGCGUGAUUGACGGUAAUGGAUAAAGAAGCACCGGCUAACUACGUG
rnacentral:rRNA from 1 species